AACGAACGCUGGCGGCAGGCCUAAAACAUGCAAGUCGAACGCCCCGCAAGGGGAGUGGCGCACGGGUGAGUAACGCGUGGGAACGUGCCCUUCACUACGGGACAACGUCGGGAAACUGACGCUAAUACCGUAUAAUGACUCCGGUCCAAAGAUUUAUCGGUGAAGGAGCGGCCCGCGUCUGAUUAGCUAGUUGGUGAGGUAAAGGCUUACCAAGGCGACGAUCAGUAGCAGGUCUGAGAGGAUGAUCUGCCACACUGGGACUGAGACACGGCCCAGACUCCUACGGGAGGCAGCGGUUAGGAAUAUUGGACAGUGGGCGAAAGCCUGAUCCAGCCAUGCCGCGUGUGUGAUGAAGGCCCUAGGGUUGUAAAGCACUUUCGUUGGGGAUGAUAAUGACCGUACCCGAAGAAGAAGCACCGGCUAACUUCGUGCCAGCAGCCGCCGUAA
rnacentral:rRNA from 1 species